GUCCAACUGAAGAUUUCCAAAUAGAACGAAACCCACGUCCUGGAU
rnacentral:hammerhead_ribozyme from 1 species